rnacentral:tmRNA from 1 species
GGGGACGUCCGGAUUUGACAGGAUGUUUGAUUAAUAUAGGUUGCGAGUCCGAGCGCUGUUCUCGGUUAUCAACGAGCUAAGCAAAUUAAAUGCUAAAGAUAACGUAAUUAAAGCUGAUUUUUCUAGAGCAUACGCUCUAGCUGCUUAAUAGCAGUCAGCCACUUCAAUAGCCCAGCUUGCCGGCUGUUGGGGUCCACUAUGCAAGACGCAGUAUGUUGAUAAUGGUAGACAUAUCAAGCUAACCAUUGAAGGUUAAGUACUUCCGCAAAAAGUACUUUGGCAAAUUUAAGGGUAGUGAUACUUUCCUGAAUUUGUCGAGAGAAUAAGUAUCUACACUCGUAGAGGCUUAUGUUGGUCCAUUUUGGACGUGGGUUCGAGUCCCACCGUCUCCA